AUUGAACGCUGGCGGCAGGCCUAACACAUGCAAGUCGAGCGGAUGAAGGGAGCUUGCUCCUGGAUUCAGCGGCGGACGGGUGAGUAAUGCCUAGGAAUCUGCCUGGUAGUGGGGGAUAACGUCCGGAAACGGGCGCUAAUACCGCAUACGUCCUGAGGGAGAAAGUGGGGGAUCUUCGGACCUCACGCUAUCAGAUGAGCCUAGGGCGGAUUAGCUAGUUGGUGGGGUAAAGGCCUACCAAGGCGACGGUCCGUAACUGGUCUGAGAGGAUGAUCAGACACACUGGAACUGAGACACGGUCCAGACUUCUACGGGAGGCAGCAGUGGGGAAUAUUGGACAAUGGGCGAAAGCCUGAUCCAGCCAUGGCGCGUGUGAAGAAGGUCUUCGGAUUGUAAAGCACUUUAAGUUGGGAGGAAGGGCAGUAAGUUAAUACCUUGCUGUUUUGACGUUACCAACAGAAUAAGCACCGGCUAACUUCGUG
rnacentral:rRNA from 1 species